UUGUGCAAUAUUUAACUCUUAUCAGAAAAAUUUACAUAACUAGGUAUAAGACAAAUUUAUUGGUGUUAUACUUAGAAUAUAAGCUCGCACCAUUAUUUUCAGGCGAUAAAUAAAUCUAAAUUUUAUUGGGAAAAGAAGUAGAAUGCAACAUUCAAAAAGUGACUUAGAUCAAGUCUGUAUAUUUGUCAAAAACUCAAUUGUAAAGUUAAAGCGAUGCUACAGCCAAGCCUAUAUCUCUAUUUUUCUGAAUAUAUAUGUCAAAGACCAAUCUUCAAAUUUGUGACCUUUUCUGUAUUUCUUUUUGUUAUGGGUUUACCUUAGUAUUUACUAUCUAUUAUUUA